rnacentral:rRNA from 1 species
CCCUAUGGGGUGCCGCAGGUUGAACCUUUCGAGAGGCUGGAGUCGGGCCUUAUCAUUCCCAAAUAGUAAUCGUUUGCCGCAUGGACGGUGGGGCGCGCCUCCAGGCACGACUCGAUGCAGGGAGCGCACCGGAGGGGAGUCGUCCGGGCCCCCGCCGCCAAGGGGAGCUUCACAUGCUGGAAACCAUUCAGGUCAACACUUCCGACCAUUGCAUGGCGGUGGACAUAACGCACGUGGUGGAGCGCAAGAUUCAGGAAACCGGUGUCCAGAGCGGUCUGUGCGUGUUGACCGUCGCCCACACCACGGCGGGACUUAUAAUCAACGAAGGCGCGGACCCCGCGGUGAUGGAGGACGUCAAGAACGCCUUCGAGGGCCUCGUUCCAUGGCGGGGGAGC